AAGCCCUGGAAACGGGGUCUAAUACCGGAUAACACCGGCUUCCGCAUGGGAGCUGGUUAAAAGCUCCGGCGGUGAAGGAUGAGCCCGCGGCCUAUCAGCUUGUUGGUGGGGUAAUGGCCUACCAAGGCGACGACGGGUAGCCGGCCUGAGAGGGCGACCGGCCACACUGGGACUGAGACACGGCCCAGACUCCUACGGGAGGCAGCAGUGGGGAAUAUUGCACAAUGGGCGAAAGCCUGAUGCAGCGACGCCGCGUGAGGGAUGACGGCCUUCGGGUUGUAAACCUCUUUCAGCAGGGAAGAAGCGAAAGUGACGGUACCUGCAGAAGAAGCGCCGGCUAACUACGUGCCAGCAGCCGCGGUAAUACGUAGGGCGCAAGCGUUGUCCGGAAUUAUUGGGCGUAAAGAGCUCGUAGGCGGCUUGUCACGUCGGGUGUGAAAGCCCGGGGCUUAACCCCGGGUCUGCAUCCGAUACGGGCAGGCUAGAGUGUGGUAGGGGAGAUCGGAAUUCCUGGUGUAGCGGUGAAAUGCGCAGAUAUCAGGAGGAACACCGGUGGCGAAGGCGGAUCUCUGGGCCAUUACUGACGCUGAGGAGCGAAAG
rnacentral:rRNA from 1 species